UACGUAGGGUGCGAGCGUUAAUCGGAAUUACUGGGCGUAAAGCGUGCGCAGGCGGUUUUGUAAGCCAGAUGUGAAAUCCCCGGGCUUAACCUGGGAAUGGCAUUUGGGACUGCAAGGCUGGAGUGUGGCAGAGGAGACUGGAAUUCCUGGUGUAGCAGUGAAAUGCGUAGAUAUCAGGAGGAACACCGAUGGCGAAGGCAGGUCUCUGGGCUGACACUGACGCUCAUGCACGAAAGCGUGGGGAGCAAAUAGG
rnacentral:rRNA from 1 species